UUAAGCUUCAUCUCUGUUUUCAUAUUAAAAUUUGGCAUGAAUGUCUGUGCUGUAAGUUAUCUUCCCUAAUUUGCUAAUCUCUUUUUGUUGUUGUUUCGGACAGCCAGUAUAUAAUUGUUUUGGAAAUAAGGUUGGUUGCAGCUGGUGCUGAAGCAAACAUGUAAAUAACAAAGGGUUUGUUUUAUAAGCUGCAGAUACAGUUGCUUCUCUUACCAAUUCCGAAUACAUCUUCAGCUGCGAUCUCUUUGAUUGUGUGGAAGAAAGCAUUGGUUCAUUUAUGUCUGUACAAAUGAGAAAUGUUUGGCUGUUCAGUUUAUUGACAUGAAGAUUGCUGGAAAGUGGAAUCAUUAGCGGACACCUUGAGGCUUGCAACAGGGAGAUAUCAAACUGAGGCGCUCUCCUAGACAGUUAGCAGAAUCUUAACGACGCGUUAGUGGCAUACCGUACAGCCGCAAAAGCAGCGGUUCAUAUUCAAGGAGAGUGUAGAAAAAAUGUGCCUUCAACGGCACAGUCAAAGGUGAUCCAGUUUGCCAACAUGGAGCUAAGAGAGUUCUUCAAUAUGCGGCGUCAAGCACUUAGGGUCCAGCCUGCUUUCCGGUGGUCACAAGCAGCAAGGCACUAGACAAAGAUUAUAUGAUCGGUUUGAUUGUUGGAGAAGUCAAUAAUCAGGUGGAGACAAAAACGACAAUUAUUUACAAGACUCCAAGUGAGCCAAGCUGAAGCAGAGGAAAAUCCCCUAUGUCAAGAAAAUGAUGGUUCCCACAAGACGAGUCGGAAAGCUCAAAAUCAUUAUAGGAUGAUGAAACUCACUUAUGAAGAAGCUCAUGUAAAAUUAUUUUUUCUUUUUCUCAUUUUUAACCUCUCAAAUAUUUUGAAUCUCCUAACUGCAAUUCACGAAGAAUAUCGUCAGGCUAUGGCGUGAGGUGAGGGACACAAUUCAUGGGUAAGUGGAGUGGCGUUUGAUUGUAUUGAUUGGCACCCAAUUGAGUGAGUUUGGUCAGAGGGCCAUGUAUCAGUUUGGCUCUCUUUUUUGGAAGAUGUAUCAGUUUGCUUCUGGUGGUCAGG